rnacentral:rRNA from 1 species
CCCUUAGAUGUUCUGGGCCGCACGCGCGCUACACUGAUACAUGCAACGAGUUUAUAACCUUGAUCUGACGGUCUGGGUAAUCUUCAAACUGUAUCGUGUUAGGGAUCGAUUCUUGCAAUUUUUAAUCGUAAACGAGGAAUUCCUAGUAAACGCAAGUCAUCAGCUUGCAUUGAUUACGUCCCUGCCCUUUGUACACACCGCCCGUCGACUCUACCGAUUGAAUGGUUCGGUGAAAACUUUGGACUGUGACAUUGUCCUUCAUUGGACUUCGCCGUAGGAAAUUGUUUAAACCUCAUCAUUUAGAGGAAGAAUAAGUCGUAACA